GCGCUUUAGCGUUUUCGCCUUACAUAUUAUAUAUGGCGAAAACGCGAAAUUUCGAAGUCGAAAACGCGAAAACGCGAAACCGAUUUCUCGUUUUCGACUUCGCGUUUUCGCGUUUUCGACUUCGCGAUUUCUCGUUUUCGACUUCGCGAUUUCGCCUUUUCGCGAUUUCGCCCUACAGAAUAUGAAAGGUGAAAUCGCGAAAACGCGAACUGGACUUCACCGGCCACCAUAGACAACUGUAGUUCUCCUCUGCACUUAUGUAGAAAGGAAC
rnacentral:lncRNA from 1 species